rnacentral:lncRNA from 1 species
CACCACCACCACCAUUUGCCUCCAAAACUAAUAGUAUCCAGCGGCCGCCACCUCCUCCACCACCACCAUUUGCCUCCAAAACCAAUAGUAUCCACCCGCUGCCACCUCCACCACCACCACCUUUUCCCUCCAAAUCCAAUAGUAUCCCGCCACCACCACCACAUCCUACAUUGUCAUCUUCAACAUCAGCUUCUAAUGCAAGUAGAAGUGUUCCUCCACCUCCACCUCCACCUCCAUUUCCUGGUGGUGGUAACCUUGGUGCUGCCUCAAGGCCACCAU